GCCGGCGCCGCUUCCUGCAGCAGCCGCCGCCGACGACAGCACCGUCCUCGCCGCCAGGGGGAGCUGCUGGGGCUGUAACUGCUGCUGCGGCUGAGGCUUGAGCUGGAACGGGACGGUGGCUUUCAUGGGCAGCAGGCGAAGAUUCUAAGACCAGUGUAUGCAGAUGAGCACCUUUAUCAGCAAGGGGUGGACCUUAAAGUAGCUUGAUUGACUGGACACUUCUGGACAUCCCGUGUAUACGGCAAGAGCCAACCUUUGUUCAAACUGCUCUUACACAUGAAGGACUGAGCUGCAUGAAGAUGAGGGAAAACCCAAUGACAGCGCAACCCUUAAACUGCCAAUAAACUUAAAAGGGUCAUUAUGGAGAAAAAUA